rnacentral:snRNA from 1 species
AUAUUUUAGUCUUUUGGCUAAGAUCAAGUGUAGUAUCUGUUCUUAUCAGUUUAAUAUUUUCUAUGUUGAUUUUAGCCAAUAAAAUUGUAUUAGCUUCA